UACGUAGGUGACCAGCGUUGUCCGGAUUUACUGGGCGUAAAGAGCGCGCAGGCGGUCGUUCAAGUCGAGUGUGAAAGCCCCCGGCUCAACUGGGGAGGGUCACUCGAUACUGAUCGACUUGAAGGCAGGAGAGGGAAGCGGAAUUCCCGGUGUAGUGGUGAAAUGCGUAGAUAUCGGGAGGAACACCAGUGGCGAAGGCGGCUUCCUGGACCAAUACUGACACUGAGGAGCGAAAGCCAGGGGAGCAAACAGG
rnacentral:rRNA from 1 species